rnacentral:tRNA from 1 species
AAAUAAGAAACAAACUAUUGUAUUUAGUUUCGACCUAAAAUUCUGAUGAAAUCAUCCUUAUUUU